CCAUCGGUGGUUAAGUGGUAGAAUGCUUGCCUGCCAUGCGGGCGGCCCCGGGUUCAAUUUCCGGCCGAUGCA
rnacentral:tRNA from 1 species